AAAAAAAAACAAGUGCGUUAUUUUUUUCCCAGAAAUCACUCUCUUCUUCUGCACGCCUCUUCGUUUUCUCUCACUAACCCUAAAAGCCCAUCCUCGUGAGUCAUUGCCGCUUCUACUUCUAGGGGUUUUUUUUUACGACGUUGCUGCAAAACCAGAGCACCUAGUCCCCAAGGAACCCUCGCAAAUCGCAUCGGUGCGCGCUCCGAGCUCGAGAUUAGAGAAGAAAAAGAUUCAACCUUUGUGGAAAAGGACGGAAAACCCAGAACGAGAAGACAAACUGCAUGAACUAAGAAGGAGAAACCUAAUCCGUUUGGCUUCUCUAUGUUUGAUCAUAAUUUUUUAUUAUUUCUGGGUGGUUUUGUUUUCAAAGAGUGAAGAAGAGAAUGGUGGUAAUCUGGACCAUGCUGGACAGGUGGUGAGUGAUUUGAUCAUGUGGAAGGAUGCGUCAAAGUCAACCUUUUGGUUUGGAUUUUGUUCUCUUUGUCUUUUGUCUUCGUGCUUUACUCAAGGACUCAACUUUAGAAAUGAGGUUGAAGAAAAGAGGGAAAUCAAGUUGACAGAGGAUGACAUUUUGCGUCUUGCGAAAUUAAUUAUUCCUGCUGUGGAUUUUGCAAUUUCAAGGAUGAGAGCGUUGUUCUCGGGAGAACCAUCCAUGACCCUCAAAGUUCCCUCCAUUAACCAAGAAAACAUUUUACAUGAAGGAUGUUGAGGAAGAAUCAGCUGGUGCUAAAAAGACAGCUGGUGGGUGAGGAGGUGCAGGUUCCAAGAGAAGCCGAGCAGCUAAAGUGCAUAAUCUAUCUGAAAGGUGAACUUUCUUGUUACGGGUUUUUUGGCAUGGAAAUAUGGAAGACACUAGGACUUACAUGCAAGUGGGACAAAGUUUGUUCGUACGAGUCGACAAGCUUCAGUUAGGUACUCUCCUUAUUUCUUACUUUAAUAUGAAAAUCCAUCAUUAUUUUUU